rnacentral:lncRNA from 9 species
UGAAAACAAAUUGGCUUCAGAUUCUGCCCCACUGCUCUUUGAAUGUUUGACAAAAAGACAUUUUCGCAAAUCCCUUUAGGGUUCAGAAUCAACUACACAGAGAAAGUCAAUAUUUAAGUAAAGACUGACUUUAAGGAAGCAGAAUUACAUUCAAAUGAAUGUUAAAUUGAGAACUUCUUUCCCAAAACAUGAAAUUCAGGAAACCAGCCAGGAAUUAAUGUCUAACUAAGACUAUUACUUAUGAACUAGUUAUACAAUUUCCAAAAGAAAUUUUUUAACCAACUCUUCUAUCAAUUUAAAAAAGUAUUCAAACCUUUACCAGAAUGUUGUUUAUUAAUUUCCUUCAGCUUUAGAACCAUCCAUUUCAGUUCUUAAAUAUGAACGAGAGUUCAAUACAAGCGCCAAUCAAAUAAUUUAAUAUUCAACUCUGGCAUAGCAUGAAUUUUUUAAAAAAAUUAUUCUAUACAAGGCACAUUCUAAUAUCUUUUUGAGGAUUUUUUUUAAUGGGAAAUAAAUUGCUUACAACACAAAAACAGUUAUCACAAUCUAAAAUCUGGAACAUCUUAAUCUGAAGUUGGUUCUGGAAUAACCUUUGUAAUCGAGAUUGUGGUAACUGCACAUAAUCCUGGGUUUAAACUGCCUGACAGGCACAGAUAAAUAAGCAUCUGACCUUAGCCACUGAAUUAAUUCUUCACCAACCAACAGCGUUCAAUCACCAUACUUAGUCACUAGUCAUGGACAUAGACAGACCUGCCCGAAAACUUCUUCGUUCACUGUGAACGUGAGGUCCAGAAUGUCAUGGAUAUCAUUGUCUUUCAUCCACUGCAGGCUCUGGUGGAACUCCUCAUCAAGGUAUUCUAGAUCACUCAGGUCACACAGACUAAGAUGACAAACAGAAACAGGCAAUAAAAAUACUCUUACAUUCUGAGAAGAGCCUUAUAGAAGGGCCGCGUGAAGAAGGCAUCCAACAAAUACUGGUGAAUCAGCGCAAGACCAAGGAUCCUACCACUGAACCGGAACCUGCGAAGGAAAAGCAGGAGACAGCUUACACAUCACAGGGUAGUUUCUACAUGGUUCUAUUUCCUCUCAAGAAUGCCUUCCAGGAGUUCCCGUUUUUGGCUCAACCGGUUAAGAACCCGACAUAGUGUCUGUGAGGAUUCGGGUUUGAUCCCUGGCCUCGCUCAGUUGGGUUAAGAAUCCGGUGUUGCCACAAGCUGUGGCAUAGGUUGCAGAUGAGGCUUGGAUCUGGUGUUGCUGAGGCUGUGGUGUAGACUGGCAACUUUGAUUCAGUCCCUAGCCUGGGAACUUCCAUAUGCCACAGGUUUGGCCCCUUAAAAAAAAAAACAAAAAAUAAAAAACAAAAAACAAAACGGUGCCUUCCAGAUCUAAGAAUCUAAGUUUGUCCAAGAUGAAUUGCCUAUGAGGUCCAUGUGUGUGUGCACUUUGGGCUGUGUCUUCGUGAAGUCAAUAUUCACACCUAUUUGUGGAAGAAAUGUUUCACUCUAAUGCUCCCCCUUCACCCCCGCCCCAGUAAUGAAUUCCCUGUCAGCAGGAUAGUGAAAUUUCCCCAAACCACUUCUAAGAAAUGUUGACAGAAUGAGACCAGUGGUGGUGAGAAGGAUGCUGUCCCCUGGUUCUUUGCUUGCAUGAAUAUUAGCAGGAUUUCUCUAAAGCAAACCCAGGAGUAAUUCCCUUUUGAGGAAAGGCCCCAUCUCAGAGUGAGAAAGUUCCUAUCUCCAUUCUCUCGCAUACCCACUCCUGAUAAUAAUUGUCACCAUCCAAGAAUUAUGCAUGUGUACAUUUGAGGGAGUUUCCUCAUGGGACAUUCUGUUCUCUAAAAUUUCAGGGCUUAAUUCUAUUUUGAAUCACUGUGGAAACUUUCUUAAAUGGUCGUCAUGACUAGAUUUGCUAACUGAGAUGGACACGUAUUUUCUUUUUCAAAAGCAUUCAAGUUUCUGGCUUCUUGAAAGUUUGAUGUCUUCUAAAAGUGCAAAUCCACC